rnacentral:tRNA from 1 species
GCCGCCGUAGCUCACCUGGCAGAGCGCGGUCCUGGUACGACCGAGGCACCCGGUUCGACCCCGGGCGGUGGCUCCA